rnacentral:rRNA from 1 species
AACGAACGCUGGCGGCAGGCUUAACACAUGCAAGUCGAACGCCCCGCAAGGGGAGUGGCAGACGGGUGAGUAACGCGUGGGAAUCUACCCAGUUCUACGGAACAACUGAGGGAAACUUCAGCUAAUACCGUAUACGCCCUACGGGGGAAAGAUUUAUCGGAAUUGGAUGAGCCCGCGUUGGAUUAGCUAGUUGGUGAGGUAACGGCUCACCAAGGCGACGAUCCAUAGCUGGUCUGAGAGGAUGAUCAGCCACACUGGGACUGAGACACGGCCAGACUCCUACGGGAGGCAGCAGUGGGGAAUAUUGGACAAUGGGCGCAAGCCUGAUCCAGCCAUGCCGCGUGAGUGAUGAAGGCCUUAGGGUUGUAAAGUUCUUUCAGUAGGGACGAUAAUGACGGUACCUACAGAAGAAGCCCCGGCUAACUUCGUGCCAGCCGCCGCCGUAAAAC